rnacentral:lncRNA from 1 species
GUAUGAGAAGCGAUGUUGGCCAGCUUUCUAAAGUUGAGUCUAGAAGGCAAGAGGAAGAUAGCUGAACAGAGAGAAAUAACAGCUGCCCAAGUAUGGGACUCACCGGAAAGCUUCUUCAUAAAGUGACGAAUUGGAAGAAGACCCUGGGCACCAGAUAGGAGCUGAGACUUCCAGGAAUAAAUCCUAUUACAGCCUGGGGGUAAGUCCCUUGAAAGCAGAAGGGAAUCAAUAACAAUCUUACUUAUUUUUAUUGUUAAUCUUGGGUAUCACGUUGAUUAUAUGUGAAGUCGACUGAGAGACUCUGAGGGUUGGAGGGCUCCUAAGGGUAUUUCCUGAAAGGACAGGUGGAAGGGGACGAGCUCUCCUUUAGAGUGGGGGCAUCUUUGGUAGCUCCGAUAAAGACAAUCCAAGUGGAAAAGUUUCGAUAUUUGCCUGCUGGGUUUCUUUCUUUUUUUAAUUGAAAAUAUUUUGUUUCAUAUAAUAUAUUCUGAUUACUGUUUCUCCUCCCUCAUCUCCUUCCAGAUCCUGUCUUCAUUUCCACUCCUCAAAUUCCAUGCUAUUAUUUUUCUCUCUCUCUCUUAAGAAAAAGACCCAGGCAUAUAGAAAAGACAAACAAACAAGAAUAUAACAAACUAAAAGGCAACAAAAAGGGAAUAAAGAGCAUGAGAAAUGCAUAUACACAAGCACCCACACAUAUGCACAAUAGACACACACAUAUAUGUGAUAUAUAUGUAUGAACACACACAUAUACACCAUUAAACACAAAAUUGGAAACAGUAAAAUGCAAGCAAAAGAUCAGUAAGAAAAAAAAGGAAAAACAGAGUCAUGGAGAGAGGAGACCAAUGAGGAGAGUAAAGGACAAUUAUUAGUCUUAACUUCCAAUGAAGCAAGUAGGUCAGUUGCCAGCUGCCGUGUGAGUCUGCUCACCCAGAAGCCUGCUCAAUGUGGCAGUACAAGAAAAGAGAAGAGGCCAUGUCUGAGACACACAUUGUGAAACCUGCACUGGUGAUGGGACCCUCUAAUUUGGUCAGACGGUAUGGCAACAUAAGUCAGUCCAGCUUUUGGCUGACACAAACAAGGAGUUACGCUCAAGUGCGCUGGAGCGUUCCCAUGAGCUGCCUGUUUUUGGUUUUAAUAAGGCUCCAUCUCUCGAGGUGUAUUAACGGUAAAUCAUUUUUGCUAAUUUAAAAACUAGGAAACAAAUGGAAACCUUGAGGUUUUUCCCCACAACAUGGCUACUUCUAAUAUCAAGAUUGCCAGAGAGGUUUAGGGGAUGGGACCAUGGCUGUGAGAAGGAAUCGAAAAAGUGUUUUGAGGUGGGGAAGUAUUUUAAUAAGUGGAUUAAUCUCUGUGGUUGCACAGCCGAAGAAACCGGGCCAGUGACUUCAAGGUAGAAGUCCUCAGAAACUUCCUAGUCAAGUCUCUCUUUAAAACAGAAGAAGAAAGCGAGGCUAUGAGAUAACAUGGGCACCUGCCUAAAAAGUAUGCCUACUGCAUACUACAUGGGAGGUUGCUGACUGUUCCCAAGGGGUACUUGAAUUGUCUGCAUGUAUUUCAUGUUUGUUUGUUUUGCUGGUAGGAGUACUAAAAAGUUAUAGAGGCUCUUGGCGGAGGGGGGGGGUGUCUUCUCCUCUUGUAAUGUUGGCCAUAAUAUUCUGUUCUCUAACCAAAAUUGCUUUAUAUGACUUCCCUUCCUUUCCAUCAACUUUACACAGCUUAUUUACAGGGCCAAUCGCAGCCCAACAUAAUUUUAUCUAAUGUCUCCCUUCAAACUAGAGAAGCUAA